rnacentral:rRNA from 1 species
GGGGGAUGCCUUGGCUCUCAGAGACGAAGAAGGACGUGUUAAGCUGCGAUAAGCUACGGUGAGCUGCACAAAAGCGUUGAUCCGUAGAUUUCCGAAUGGGGCAACCCGGCUAGUUGAAGACUAGUCACCGAAAGGAGUGAACGCGGGGAACUGAAACAUCUAAGUACCCGGAGGAAGAGAAAACAAUAGUGAUUCCGCAAGUAGUGGCGAGCGAACGCGGACUAGCCCAAACCCAAGUAGUUACGGCUGCUUGGGGGUUGUAGGACUGUGAUGUGGACUGUACAAACGAACUGGAAUGAUUUGGGAAAAUCAGUCAGAGAGGGUGAGAGCCCCGUACAGGUAAGAUUAUUUUACCUAUCAGUAUCCUGAGUAGGGCGGAACCGGAGGAAUUCCGUCUGAAUUUGCCAGCACCAUCUGGUAAGGCUAAAUACUCCUGAGAAACCGAUAGUGAACCAGUACCGUGAGGGAAAGGUGAAAAGUACCCUGAGUAAGGGGGUGAAAUAGAACCUGAAACCAUGCGCUUACAAGCGGUCGGAGCCCUUUAGUGGGGUGACGGCGUGCCUUUUGCAUAAUGAGCCUACGAGUUACUUUAUAUGGCAAGGUUAAGGAUUAGAGGUCUGUAGCCGGAGCGAAAGCGAGUCUUAACAGGGCGUGUAGUCAUAUGGAGUAGACGCGAAACUUGGUGAUCUACCCAUGGCCAGGGUGAAGGUUAGGUAACACUAACUGGAGGCCCGAACCAGUACACGUUGAAAAGUGUUUGGAUGAGCUGUGGGUAGGGGUGAAAGGCCAAUCAAACUGAGAGAUAGCUCGUACUCCCCGAAAUGCUUUUAGGAGCAGCGUGUGGAGAUGUUUGUUAGAGGUAGAGCUACCGAUUGGACUAGGGGGAGUCACAUCCUACCAAAUCCAGACGAACUCCGAAUGCUAGUAAAUUAGUCCUGCAGUGAGGGCAUGGGUGCUAAGGUCCGUGUCCGAGAGGGAAAGAACCCAGACCUACGGCUAAGGUCCCUAAAUCCGCGCUAAGUUGAACUAAGGAGGUCCAAUUGCUUAGACAGCCAGGAUGUUGGCUUGGAAGCAGCCAUUCAUUUAAAGAGUGCGUAACAGCUCACUGGUCGAGCGAUAGGGCAUCGAUAAUAAUCGGGCAUAAAGUACAGUACCGAAGCUUAGGAUUUAUGGUAGGGGAGCAUUCUCUGUGGGGUGAAGGUGUGUUGUGAGACAUGCUGGACUGCAGAGAAGCGCAAAUGUAGGCAUAAGUAACGAUAAUGCGGGCGAGAAACCCGCACACCGAUAGACUAAGGUUUCCCCGGCAAUGCUAAUCAGCCGGGGGUUAGUCGGGGCCUAAGGCGAACCCAAUGGGGUAGUCGAUGGAUAACAGGUUAAUAUUCCUGUACUUGCAUGAUACUAAAAAGUGACGAAGUGAUGUAGUUGCUACGUGCUGACGGAAUAGCACGUUGAGCCUAGUCUUCGGACAAAGCGAAGUAGUGAGUUCACUUCCUAGAAAAGCGAAGUCAUGCAACCCGUACCGCAAACCGACACAGGUAGUCGAGGAGAGUAUCCUAAGGUGCUCGAGUGAUUCAUGGCUAAGGAACUAGGCAAAAUGACCCUGUAACUUCGGGAGAAGGGGUCCCUACGUGAGUAGGGCGCAGCGAAACGAUCCAGGCGACUGUUUAUCAAAAACACAUGGCUUUGCGAACUUGAAAGAGGAAGUAUAAGGCCUGACACCUGCCCGGUGCUGGAAGGUUAAGGGGGGGAGUUAGCUUCGGCGAAGCUCUGAACUGAAGCCCCAGUAAACGGCGGCCGUAACUAUAACGGUCCUAAGGUAG